rnacentral:lncRNA from 1 species
UUUUGUGGAGUUUAACCUUAUUUCUGCGGCAAUGGUGGUAGUUUAAUAUUUCAUAUUGUGCUCAUCAUGAUGCUAUCUAAACAGUCUUAAUGCCCAACUAUCUACUUAUUGCAAUCUUCACGGCGAUUUACCUGUGAAAUUUAGAAAAAGGAAAGGAAAAAUAAAUAUAAAGAAACUUUUAAGUGGAAAGUGACACUACAAUGAGACCUGCAAAAACUCGACAAGUUUGAAAUAAACAACUAAAAAGAAUCCACACACAGAACAAUAAACCUUUACAAAGAAAAAACCAACAACUUUGUGCCACUAAAUCUAUAGAGUGUCAAUAAUGUUGCUGUACGGAAAGGGAUUCACUUGGGGUCUACAUGAAAUUCAUGGUGUUCUUUGAUGAUGCAUUGAUUCUCUAGAACAAGAAAUAGGAGAUACAUCAUUCAUAUUAACCGAUAUACUCUGAAUUUUUAAUACGAAAACUAGACUAAAAUGCUCUGUUAUCAAUGUGUCUAAUAUAGAAGAAAGUAUAUCUUACUUACAUGAGAAGAAAAAUGUUUCUCCUGUGUAUUUGUCCACUAGAGCGACCAAGGUAUUGUGAGCUACGAUUACAAUAACAAAGGUGAAUUAGCCAAUGCCCCCAAUAAUUGGGACAAUGUAAUCAUGAAAAUAUAAAAAAAACAAUAAAGCAAACAGAAAAUAGAAUGUAACAAUGAACAAUUAAAGGUUGCUUCUUUAGUCAUGAAAAAGGAGUAAUAAUGUUUAGGCCACUGGUUUUCAUUGCACACAAAAGUCACAUAAGACAGAUACACGACGAAGGGUAGUUAUUCACUGCAAAUCUAUUGACAUAAUUGGUUACUGUAAACUUUUUGCUCUCAUAGACUCCUUUGAGUCAUUAUAUCCUAAGACUCUACUUGUUGGAUGGUAGCCACUUAAUGUUACUAAAAAAGAAAGUAAAAGUAGAAGAAAGAAUGAAACAUAUCAGUCUACAAUUUCAACACUCUCCUAUUCCAAUAAGCAAUAUCAAUACCUUUUCAUUUAUAUUUAUUCGUAAUGCCUCCUUUGUUCAAACUGUCACUCCACAUUACCAUCUUCUUCAGCCUUUGCUUCCAUUUUUCCCGACUAUGUAGGCGAGGCCCCUACAUCUUUCAAUCACACAAAAAACAGAACAUGACGUUAUUGGAAGAAACAACACAUACCCACAAGUUAACACUAUACAUACAUCAUAUCUUCUAUGUUUAUUUAUUGCAAGUAGCACAAAGUGGUAUCUAUUUUUCUGCACAUCUUUUUAUGAAUUUUCCUUUUUUAUGAUAAUUCUGAGCAAAGAACACAUAUCACCUCCAACUAAGAUCUAAUUUACUGGAGAAGAAAAAUCAUGAUAAGGCCUUACUUGGUCUAUCAGGACCACCAAUAAGAACAUCAAACUUUUAUAUGCCCUGUUCAAUAUGUCAUGCUGAAAGUUGAGAUUUCUGUAGUACUGAGAUAACGCAAAGCGGUUCCACAUGCAGCUGUGGUACUUUUUUCCUUUCUUAAGCAAUUUACGGCAAGAGAGGAUACACAUGAACGUCACCAGGGAGACCUAAAAUAUGUAUACACAACACGAUUAUUUUCUCUCUUAAGAUCAUGAAAAAAGGAAUGCUAGGUUACAACAUGUGUUUAGGACAGCUCUGUAUCCAUCCUGCAAAGAAGAGUAGCCGAUGCUGAUGUUUGGUCCUAAGGGGUAACUUACUUCCAAGCUUUAUAGUCAAAUUUAUAUAUACUGCAAGAACUGACAGGAUCAAGUGAUGCAAAAUGGUCCCAAUAAGCAUGAUCCAAUAGAGUUUACCAGUGUAGAGGGUGGUGGGCAAGAUUGUCUUCUCUUAAACUGAGCUCAAGUACCAUGAGACCCAAGUAGGGGCCCUAGUGUACAUGCUCUGACAAUAAACUUAGCCAAAAGACAAAAUAAUAACAAGUAAUAACUAUGCAGUAAAAUAAAGUUUUUACCUAUUAUGCAGUAAAUCUUGGCAGGGAGAGAAUGUAUGUACCCGCGAUGUGAAUUACUAACCUACCAUAAAAAAGAUGAGAAAUAGAAGUUAGAAAUACUUUUCUAGUAACUUUCACACUAUAUAAUAUGCAAGAAAUUAAUUAAAAACGUCACAAAGAUAUCUUAAUUUGCAGCAAGAGACAAAAAGUAAUGGCAAUCCAGCUAUAUAGUGAACACAAGUAUAUGACUGUACCGCCUAAAACCUUUCCUUUAAAUUCCCCUUUCUACCUCUUUUUUUUUUUCCCUCAGAGUAGUACUCUAAACCUCAAGUUUACCUCUACUUCUCUUAUACCAUUCCGCCUCUUAUUCUUUGCAAUUUCUCUCAACAAAGUAGAAAUGGGAUUGACCUCAUCCUUACGGUUCCAUAGACAAAACAACAAGACUUUCCUCGGAAUCUUCAUGAUCUUGGUUCUAAGCUGUAUACCAGGUAGAACCAAUCUUUGUUCCAAUCAUUCUGUUAGUACCCCAAAAGAAUUACCUUCUUCAAAUCCUUCAGAUAUUCGUUCCUCAUUAGUUUCACUAGAUUUGGAGGGUUAUAUAAGCUUCGACGAUGUCCACAAUGUGGCCAAGGACUUUGGCAACAGAUACCAGUUACCACCUUUGGCAAUUCUACAUCCAAGGUCAGUUUUUGAUAUUUCAUCGAUGAUGAAGCAUAUAGUACAUCUGGGCUCCACCUCAAAUCUUACAGUAGCAGCUAGAGGCCAUGGUCACUCGCUUCAAGGACAAGCUCUAGCUCAUCAAGGUGUUGUCAUCAAAAUGGAGUCACUUCGAAGUCCUGAUAUCAGGAUUUAUAAGGGGAAGCAACCAUAUGUUGAUGUCUCAGGUGGUGAAAUAUGGAUAAACAUUCUACGCGAGACUCUAAAAUACGGUCUUUCACCAAAGUCCUGGACAGACUACCUUCAUUUGACCGUUGGAGGUACACUAUCUAAUGCUGGAAUCAGCGGUCAAGCAUUCAAGCAUGGACCCCAAAUCAACAACGUCUACCAGCUAGAGAUUGUUACAGGUAUUUCAUUCAUGCUUUAUCUCUGCGGUAGUCUCAAAAAAAUAUGCACCUGUAAAGAAUAUCCAUCUCUUCAUGAGCAAAAACACUGACGACUUUAAAUAAUUUUUGACUAUAAAACAAGAGUGCAUAGGCACAAAUGUGAAAUAUGCAACACACAAUUGUAACUUGCACCAAGAAAAAAGUUAUAAAAACAAACAACUGAUAAGCAAUAUAUUUCCAAUAUUUAAUCAGGGAAAGGAGAAGUCGUAACCUGUUCUGAGAAGCGGAAUUCUGAACUUUUCUUCAGUGUUCUUGGCGGGCUUGGACAGUUUGGCAUAAUCACCCGGGCACGGAUCUCUCUUGAACCAGCACCGCAUAUGGUAAAGUUCUAUCUUGAACAAAGUUCAAACAAUAUACGCUAUGAUUCUAAGAACCACUUUCCUGACACAGUCAAAUAACUUUUAAUAGGUUAAAUGGAUCAGGGUACUCUACUCUGACUUUUCUGCAUUUUCAAGGGACCAAGAAUAUCUGAUUUCGAAGGAGAAAACUUUUGAUUACGUUGAAGGAUUUGUGAUAAUCAAUAGAACAGACCUUCUCAAUAAUUGGCGAUCGUCAUUCAGUCCCAACGAUUCCACACAGGCAAGCAGAUUCAAGUCAGAUGGGAAAACUCUUUAUUGCCUAGAAGUGGUCAAAUAUUUCAACCCAGAAGAAGCUAGCUCUAUGGAUCAGGUAAGAUGUGAAAGCAAUAUAUAACUAGACUUAGUUUCCACAGAGAGCUCCAAAUCAACCGUUGGCUACUAGCCUACUAACAUAAUGAAUGGUUGCCGUGCAGGAAACUGGCAAGUUACUUUCAGAGUUAAAUUAUAUUCCAUCCACUUUGUUUUCAUCUGAAGUGCCAUAUAUCGAGUUUCUGGAUCGCGUGCAUAUCGCAGAGAGAAAACUAAGAGCAAAGGGUUUAUGGGAGGUUCCACAUCCCUGGCUGAAUCUCCUGAUUCCUAAGAGCAGCAUAUACCAAUUUGCUACAGAAGUUUUCAACAACAUUCUCACAAGCAACAACAACGGUCCUAUCCUUAUUUAUCCAGUCAAUCAAUCCAAGUAAGUGAGCAAAAUGCCAAAAGCAAAUGCGUCCAGUGAUUCUGAAACAUAAAUUACUAACCAUAUCCAACAUUUUGUGGUUUCAGGUGGAAGAAACAUACAUCUUUGAUAACUCCAAAUGAAGAUAUAUUCUAUCUCGUAGCCUUUCUCCCCUCUGCAGUGCCAAAUUCCUCAGGGAAAAACGAUCUAGAGUACCUUUUGAAACAAAACCAAAGAGUUAUGAACUUCUGCGCAGCAGCAAACCUCAACGUGAAGCAGUAUUUGCCCCAUUAUGAAACUCAAAAAGAGUGGAAAUCACACUUUGGCAAAAGAUGGGAAACAUUUGCACAGAGGAAACAAGCCUACGACCCUCUAGCGAUUCUAGCACCUGGCCAAAGAAUAUUCCAAAAGACAACAGGAAAAUUAUCUCCCAUCCAACUCGCAAAGUCAAAGGCAACAGGAAGUCCUCAAAGGUACCAUUACGCAUCAAUACUGCCGAAACCUAGAACUGUAUAAAAGUUUCCUGUGUCCGUCCUUGUAACCGCUCAGGCUAGGCAGCAAGAAAGUGAAAAAUUCUUUCUUUUUUGUUUCUUUUGGUGAACAACAAAUUUUACAGUCUGAAACAGAUUGGGACAAUUGUAUAGGAUCUCCAUAAAAAUCCUACGCAGUGUCAUUACUUUUGGUGCUCCAAAAACUCAAAAAACAUCAUUUUUAAAUCUACUAUAAGCAAACAAAUUACAAUAGCUCAAAAAAUCACCAAAUCAGAACUCUGGGUGCAAAGCGAUUUACCUUGAAGAAUCGAUUCUCAAUUGGGUCCACGAAUCUCGUUAAUGGAGCCAAGCUACGAUUUUUCCAAUCGAUUUUUGUACUGAAACAACAACGAUUAUCCCAAUUUCUCAUCAAGAUGGCAGAAAUUUGGCGCCUUUCCGCCAUGAAUAGUCACGACGAGAUUAUUUUCUCUCUUCAGAUUGUGAUUUCAAAUUUCACUUCGUUUGUCACACGCGUGAAGCAACAAAACACACGUGUG